rnacentral:rRNA from 1 species
UACGUAGGGUCCGAGCGUUGUCCGGAAUUAUUAGGCGUAAAGGGCUCGUAGGCGGUCUGUUGCGUCGGGAGUGAAAACUUACAGCUUAACUGUGAGCGUGCUUCCGAUACGGGCAGACUUGAGGUAUUCAGGGGAGAACGGAAUUCCUGGUGUAGCGGUGAAAUGCGCAGAUAUCAGGAGGAACACCGGUGGCGAAGGCGGUUCUCUGGGAAUAUCCUGACGCUGAGGAGCGAAAGUGUGGGGAGCGAACAGG